rnacentral:rRNA from 1 species
GAUGAACGCUGGCGGCGUGCCUAAUACAUGCAAGUCGAGCGAACAGAUGAGGAGCUUGCUCCUCUGACGUUAGCGGCGGACGGGUGAGUAACACGUGGAUAACCUACCUAUAAGACUGGGAUAACUUCGGGAAACCGGAGCUAAUACCGGAUAAUAUAUUGAACCGCAUGGUUCAAUAGUGAAAGACGGUUUUGCUGUCACUUAUAGAUGGAUCCGCGCCGCAUUAGCUAGUUGGUAAGGUAACGGCUUACCAAGGCAACGAUGCGUAGCCGACCUGAGAGGGGGAUCGGCAACACUGGAACUGAGACACGGUCCAGACUCCUACGGGAGGCAGCAGUAGGGAAUCUUCCGAAAUGGGCGAAAGCCUGACGAAGAAACGCCGCGUGAGUGAUGAAGGUCUUCGGAUCGUAAAACUCUGUUAUUAGGGAAGAACAAAUGUGUAAGUAACUAUGCACGUCUUGACGGUACCUAAUCAGAAAGCCACGGCUAACUACGUG